GUUUAUUUAUAAGUACAACAGGAACAGUGGCAAAGGAUGGAAAGACAGAAAGAGGCAAGGGUUCAAAAAAUUCAGGGAAAUGGCCCAAAGAAUUAAUAACAGACUAGGAUACAGAUCUUUUCUUGUGUAUUAGUCCAAAUCACUCUCAACUAGCAGUGACCAACAGUUAGUCCCUGAUGAGCACUUGCCAGCCCAUGCAAGCCAGUCUAUAAUGGCCACAAACACGUAACAAAAUUAGCCUUAACUGGCAUCCUUUCUGAAAGCCUCAACAACCAGACGACCAACCAGGGAGAGAGCGAGGCGCUGCUGCCCGACCCUCCUCUCUCUGUUUGCCCACAGGACCCGUCACCCCGAUGACUUGGGCGAGAAGUCCCAACUCCGUGGGAUGAAGGAUGGCCAGGAACACCAGAAGAACGGGAUGUCCAAAAACCACCACCAGGGAGCGGGGGUGUCCGCUGUGCACGGCAACGCGUGCAAAGGGGAGCGGAGAGCGCGGCAGGCGAGGUAGGCCUCGGAGGAGAUCCCCGCUGGCCUCCCUGGGAGCACUCCAGUCGUAAAGCCCUUGGAGAGGCUCUUCCAGCCCCUCUGCCGGGGAGGGCGGAGGCACAGGAGCAAGGCAGGAGGCCGGGGUGCGGGGAGAACCCCACAGCCGACCCCGCAGUGUCGCAGGAUGCGCCGGCCAAGACGCGCGACCUGCGCUCUCGCCCAGUACCAGCACUGACCAGCCAGAGGUCUCCAGUGGUUUGGGGGCAGCGGCCACAGCCUGGUGUGAGCACCCGUGGUGGCCCCGCUGCCUCCGCCUGGGGCUUCAGGAGACGUUCCCCGACCUCCGCUUCAGCCACAGGCCACGCUCGCAGACGGGCAACGCGCGGCGGCAGGCGGGAAGACACGCAGGCCUUCACCGACGGCAGCGCCCUCGGGGGGCAGCAGCAACCCCCGGGGGGCAGGGGCUGCCUGCGGGGGAACUGCCACKGCCGAGCCCCCCUCACAGGCGACACCCCUCAUCUCGGGGUCUCCUCAGGAGCGAGCGCCCCUCGCGGGGGGCAGCUCCCGCACAGGGUCUCCUCAGGAGCGAGGUCUCCCCUCAGGAGCCAGGUCUCCCCUCAGGAGCAGGGGUCUCCUCAGGAGCCGGGGUCUCCCCUCAGGAGCCGGGGUCUCCCCUCAGGAGGGGGGUCUCCCCCCUCAGGAGCCGGGUCUCCCCCCUCAGGAGCCGGGGUCUCCCGGGACGGCCCCGCGGCCGGGUCCCCCUCAGGCGCGGGAGGGCCCUGCACCGGGCGCCGCGGGCCGGUCCCGG
rnacentral:lncRNA from 1 species